rnacentral:rRNA from 1 species
UGCCAGCAGCCGCGGUAAUACGGAGGGGGUUAGCGUUGUUCGGAAUUACUGGGCGUAAAGCGUACGUAGGCGGAUUAGUAAGUUAGGGGUGAAAUCCCGAGGCUCAACCUCGGAACUGCCUCUAAAACUGCUAGUCUUGAGUUCGAGAGAGGUGAGUGGAAUUCCGAGUGUAGAGGUGAAAUUCGUAGAUAUUCGGAGGAACACCAGUGGCGAAGGCGGCUCACUGGCUCGGAUCUGACGCUGAGGCGCGAAAGCGUGGGUAGCGAACGGGAUUAGAUA